UACGGAGGGUGCGAGCGUUGUUCGGAAUCACUGGGCGUAAAGAGCUCGUAGGCGGCUUAGCAAGUCAGGUGUGAAACCUCCAGGCUCAACCUGGAGACGCCACUUGAUACUACUAUGGCUUGAGUUCGGUAGGGGUAAGCGGAAUUCCUGGUGUAGCGGUGAAAUGCGCAGAUAUCAGGAGGAACACCGAUGGCGAAGGCAGCUUACUGGGCCGAUACUGACGCUGAGGAGCGAAAGCGUGGGGAGCGAACAGG
rnacentral:rRNA from 1 species